rnacentral:rRNA from 1 species
UGGCGGCUGUAGCGCGGUGGUCCCACCUGACCCCAUGCCGAACUCAGAAGUGAAACGCCGUAGCGCCGAUGGUAGUGUGGGGCCUCCCCCAUGCGAGAGUAGGGAACUGCCAGGCA